CACAGGUUUGGUCCCAGCCUUCCUAUUGACCCUUAAUAGACUUACACAUGCAAGCAUCCACACCCCAGUGAAAAUGCCCUCCAAGUUAACUAAGACUAAGAGGAGCUGGUAUCAAGCACACAUCCGUAGCUCACGACACCUUGCAUAGCCACACCCCCACGGGAGACAGCAGUGAUAAAAAUUAAGCCAUAAACGAAAGUUUGACUAAGCCAUAUUAAUCAGGGUUGGUAAAUUUCGUGCCAGCCGCCGCGGUCAUACGAUUAACCCAAGUUAAUAGGCAUACGGCGUAAAGCGUGUUAAAGCACUAUACCAAAUAAAGUUAAAUUCCAAUUAAGCUGUAAAAAGCCAUAAUUGCAACAAAAAUAAACAACGAAAGUAACUUUACAGCCGCUGAAACACGAUAGCUAGGACCCAAACUGGGAUUAGAUACCCCACUAUGCCUAGCCUUAAACACAAAUAGUUAUGUAAACAAAACUAUUCGCCAGAGUACUACCGGCAAUAGCUUAAAACUCAAAGGACUUGGCGGUGCUUUAUACCCUUCUAGAGGAGCCUGUUCUAUAAUCGAUAAACCCCGAUAAACCUCACCAUUCCUUGCUACUACAGUCUAUAUACCGCCAUCUUCAGCAAACCCUAAAAAGGUACAAAAGUAAGCACAAUCAUAAUACAUAAAAACGUUAGGUCAAGGUGUAACCUAUGGAACGGAAAGAAAUGGGCUACAUUUUCUAAUCUAAGAAAAUCCAACACGAAAGUUAUUAUGAAACUAAUAACCAAAGGAGGAUUUAGCAGUAAACUAAGAAUAGAGUGCUUAGUUGAAUUAGGCCAUGAAGCACGCACACACCGCCCGUCACCCUCCUCAAGUAGGCACAAUACACUCAAACUUAUUUACACGUAUUAAUCAUAUGAGAGGAGAUAAGUCGUAACAAGGUAAGCAUACUGGAAAGUGUGCUUGGAUAAAU
rnacentral:ncRNA from 1 species